rnacentral:ncRNA from 1 species
GAAAGGAAUUGAUAUCUAUCAAUUCUGGAAGCUGGAUAACAGUUUCUCAAUUAGG